ACGGCUCAGUAACACGUAGCUAACCUACCCUUAUGUCGGGAAUAACCUCGGGAAACUGAGGGUAAAACCUGAUAGGAGAUUUACCCUGGAACGAUUUAUCUCUUAAACUUGUGCAUAAGGAUGGGGCUGCGGCGGAUUAGGUAGUUGGCGGGGUAACUGCCCACCAAGCCGACGAUCCGUAAGGGCUCUUAGCGGAGAGGCCCUGAGAGGGAAUCUGAGACACUAUUCCCAGCCCUACGGGGUGCAGCAGUUAGGAAUCUUCUGCAAUGCGCGUAGGCGUGACAGAGCGAGCCAGAGUGUUUUUCAUUUAGAAAAACUUUUGCCAAGUCCAAAUAGCUUGGCGAAUAAGGACUGGGUAAGACGGGUGCCAGCAGCCGCGGUAAUCCCCGCGGUCCAAGUCGCAGCCAGCAUUAUUGGGUCUAAAACAUCCGUAGCUUGCUUCUUAAGUUCCCUGUGAAAUCCGGCAUCUCAAAUGUCGGGUGUGCGGGGAGUACUGAGGAGCUAGAGACUGGAAGACGUGAGAGGUACGUUCAAUGUAGUAGUUAAAUACGUUAAUCUUGGACGGACCCACAACAGCGAAGGCAUCUCACGAGGACAGUUCUGACAGUAAGGGAUGAAGGCUAGGGGCGCAAAAGGGAUUAGAUACCCCUGUAGUCCUAGCAGUAAACACUGCACACUAAACAUUAGUACCUCCUAGAGAGGUAUUGGUGCUGAGGCGAAGGCGAAGAGUGUGCUACCUGGGAAGUAUAGUCGCAAGGCCGAAACUUAAAGGAAUUGGCGGGGGAGA
rnacentral:rRNA from 1 species